rnacentral:lncRNA from 1 species
UUUUUAGUUUCAGUUAAGAGAUGGUUCUUAACUUUUAACUAAGAAAAACUAAAAACUGUUUCUUAAAUAAGAGAUAUAAGAGACGUUUCUUAGCCAAAAAUUGUAAAAAACAAUGUCAAAUCAUGAGUUAAGAACCAAAAAUAAGAAACCGGAGUUAAUCAUGCUCUAAAGUAAUUUUAUUUCUUGUAAGAUGGAGUAUUCAUUUAACUAUUAUACUCGUUAGGUUAAAAUAUCUUUCAACUAGUCUACAGAUAUUUUUAGCUACCUUGUGAAUGGCUAAGCUUCUUCGAUCCUUUAAAAAAAAAAAUAAUUUUGAACAAAUCUAUACCUUUUCUUUGUUUGAACUGGGCUACGUACCGUUUUGUUUGGGACAAAUUUUACUUUGUCUUCUUCAAAUCUACAGAUCUACAUACCACGCGUUGCGAAGAUACUUGACAAAGAUAGUGUUCUAACAUCACAAGCUAAUCUUCAAAGCAUUAUUACACCUCUUCAAAGCAAUCAAUUAAAAUAAUGUUGAGUAAACUAAAUAAACUAUAGAGUUGAACUAGCCAAUAAAAAAAAAAUUGAGUAAACUAAAUAUAUUAUAGAGUUGAACUAGCCAAUAAAAUUUAUAACUAUUUUGAGUAUUUUACAUACGGAAGGAAU